rnacentral:rRNA from 1 species
UACGUAGGGGGCAAGCGUUGUUCGGAAUUACUGGGCGUAAAGGGCGCGUAGGCGGCACAGCCAGUCGGGAGUGAAAGCCCGGGGCUCAACCCCGGAACAGCUUUCGAAACUGCUGAGCUAGAGUACAGAAGGGGCAACCGGAAUUCCCAGUGUAGCGGUGAAAUGCGUAGAUAUCGGGAGGAACACCAGUGGCGAAGGCGGCUGGCUGGGGUAUUGCUGACGCUGAGGCACGAAAGCCAGGGGAGCGAACGGG